AAGAAAUUUAUUAUAUUUUUAUUUGAUUUUGUUUUUAGCGGAAAUAUAUUUUAUUUUAUUAAUUUUGUUUGAAAUAAUUUUUUUAUUUAUAGAUUAUUGUACUGUGAAGGAUUUAAUUUUUUUAAAAAAAAGAAGAAUUUAUUUUUUGUACCUUGUGUAUCAGGGUUGAUUAAUUUUAAUCAAUUUUUUUGAUUUUCCCGAAUUUAAAAGAGCUAAGAAGAAAUUUUAUUUUACUGUGGAAUAAUUAUUUAUAAUUUCUUUUUUGUAAUGAAACGUUAUUCGUUUUUAAAUAUAUCUGGUUUUUCAAGAAACAAAUUUAAUUGGUUUUAUUAUAUUUUAUUUUUAUUAUUUUUAUUUAACUAUAAUUUAUAAAACAAUAAUUGAUGGGAUAAGCUUUCAUUUAUAUAUGUAUAAAAAUUUGUUAGUUAAUUUUUUAUAGGAUUAGAAUUUUUCAUUUAUUUUAGGAUGUUAUAAUUAGAAAUUUAUUAAUUUUUAUUUAAUUUAUUUUUACUUAUUUAUUGAAAAUUUUUUGUUAAUUGUUUUAUUAAGGUAUUAUGAUUAAAUUAGUAUAAAAUUUAUUGUAUAAUUAAAUUUAAUUGUUAGAUUUAGUUAAGGAAUUCGGCAAUAAUUAAUUUUCACCUGUUUAGUAAAAACAUGUCUUUUUGAUUAUUAUUUAAGGUCUGACCUGCCCAAUGAUUGUUAAAUGGCCGCAGUAUUUUGACUGUGCAAAGGUAGCAUAAUCAUUAGUUUCUUAAUUAGAAGCUGGAAUGAAUGGUUUGAUGAAAAAUUAACUGUCUCUUUUAAAAUUUUUAGAAUUUUAUUUUUUAGUAAAAAAGCUUAAAUUUAAUAUAAAGACGAGAAGACCCUAUAGAGUUUUAUACUUGAAUUAUAAUAGAUAAUUGGAAUAUAAUUUCUUUUUUAUUUUUAAGUAUUUUAUUGGGGUGAUAUAAAAAUUUGUUUAACUUUUUAUUUAUUUUUACAUUAAUUAAUGAAUUAUUGAUCCUUUUUUUUGAUUACAAGAUUAAAUUACCUUAGGGAUAACAGCGUAAUUUUUUUUGAAAGUUCUUAUUGAUAAAAAAGUUUGCGACCUCGAUGUUGGAUUAAAAUUAAUUUUUGGUGUAGCAGCUAAAAUAUUGGGUCUGUUCGACCUUUGAAAUUUUACAUGAUCUGAGUUUAGACCGGCGUGAGCCAGGUUGGUUUCUAUCUUUUAUGAUUAUUUAAUGUUUUAGUACGAAAGGACCAUUCAUUAAAAUUAAAUUUUGAUUUUUGAAUUUAAUU
rnacentral:rRNA from 1 species